rnacentral:rRNA from 2 species
CGAGCUGGGUUUAGAACGUCGUGAGACAGUUCGGUCCCUAUCUGCCGUGGGCGCUGGAGAAUUGAGGGGGGCUGCUCCUAGUACGAGAGGACCGGAGUGGACGCAUCACUGGUGUUCGGGUUGUCAUGCCAAUGGCACUGCCCGGUAGCUAAAUGCGGAAGAGAUAAGUGCUGAAAGCAUCUAAGCACGAAACUUGCCCCGAGAUGAUUUCUCCCUGAGACUUUAAGUCUCCUGAAGGAACGUUGAAGACGACGACGUUGAUAGGCCGGGUGUGUAAGCGCAGCGAUGCGUUGAGCUAACCGGUACUAAUGAACCGUGAGGCUUAACCUUA